CUGAACAAAGAGCCAAAGCUACACUUGUUACUUCUCUAAGGAAAAAACUAAACCCCCUAAUCUUCUUCCUCCAAACUUUCCUCUGAUUUUCGACUCAAAUAUUCAGCAAUUUGUUGCUGCUAAGAUAAUUUUGGUGGAAGAAAAGAGACGGAUCAAUGCCAAAGGGUUUGAAGAGUAAAUAUCAAUCUACUUCUCAUUAGGUUUUGAAGGAAAAAGAAAAGAAUUGUGUUAAUGACCUUGAAGGGAUAUUCACUAAUCUUCAAAAUGCAAGGAAGGAGAGUCGUACUACUGACAUUGCACGUGUCUCUGUUUUACUUUCGACUUCAACUCCGGCGGACGCUUCUCCACUUCCAUCCAUUUCGAUUUCAGGUUUCAGUAUGGCUUCAACAUCAACUAACGGUCCCAUGUACAAGAUUGACCCUGCUCAUCAUUUUCAGUCUAUAGUAAGUAGUUUAUCACAUUUAGUAAGCAGGUUGACUAUGUUGUCGGAUCAAAACAAGACUGUCAAGAUCCUUGGGUGAAUGUUGAUUACAUUUACUCUCCAUUCAAUAUCCAUGGCAAUCAUUGGAUUCUAUUAUGCUUGGACUUGGUACGUUGUCAAGUUAAGGUAUGGGAUUCGCUUCCGUCGCUGACGAGUGCCGAAGAUAUGAGAAGCAUAUUAGAGCCAAUUCAAGAGAUGGUGCCAAAUUUGCUCGAUGCUACUGGAUUCUUUGUUAGGAGAGGCGGAUCAUCAACACACAAGGAACCUUGGCCACUUGUCAUUGUCGACUCCAUUCCACUUCAACGCAACAAUAGUGAUUGUGGUGUAUUUACAAUUAAGUAUUUCGAAUAUGAAGCUUCUGGUUUAGAUGUAGCUACAUUAUGUCAAGAAAACAUGUCAUAUUUUAGAAAACAAUUGGCAUUUCAAUUAUGGACCAACAAUCCCAUGUAUUGACUUUUAGUUCCAACUUUUGAAGGAAUUGUAUAUGUUCCAAACUAUGUACAUAAAUAGUUUUAUAUAAUGGAAUGAAUACCAUUUUUGUU